AAUGAACGCUGGCGGCGCGCCUAAUACAUGCAAGUCGAGCGAGAAGACGUAGCAAUACGUUUGUAAGGCGGCGAACGGGUGAGGAAUACAUGGGUAACCUACCCUCGAGUGGGGAAUAACUAGCCGAAAGGUUAGCUAAUACCGCGUACGCUCCUUGGACUUCGGUUCAGGGAGGAAAGCGAUACCGUGGGUAUCGCGCUCUUGGUUGGGCUCAUGUCCUAUCAGCUUGUUGGUGAGGUAACGGCUCACCAAGGCUUCGACGGGUAGCUGGUCUGAGAGGACGAUCAGCCACACUGGCACUGCGACACGGGCCAGACUCCUACGGGAGGCAGCAGUAAGGAAUAUUGCGCAAUGGGCGAAAGCCUGACGCAGCGACGCCGCGG
rnacentral:rRNA from 1 species